UUUAAGCGCAGCCAUGAGUUUCCGUGUCUAACUUUAAUUGUCGGUCUUAUUUAAAAAAAAAUCAUGAUUAAUAUUUUAUUGUUAUUAGAUGAUAAAACAUGAAUAAUACUUACUUAUGCUUUUUAAUUUUUUCAGAAAAAAUCAAUCAAAAUUAGACACAGAAACUUAUAGUUGCGCUUUAA
rfam:Oryza sativa Japonica Group DNA, chromosome 4, cultivar: Nipponbare, complete sequence.